AGAGUGAACGCUGGCGGCAGGCCUAACACAUGCAAGUCGAACGGCAGCACAGGGGAGCUUGCUCCCUGGGUGGCGAGUGGCGGACGGGUGAGGAAUACAUCGGAAUCUACCCAGUCGUGGGGGAUAACCUCGGGAAACCGGGACUAAUACCGCAUACGACCCACGGGUGAAAGCGGAGGACCGCAAGGCUUCGCGCGAUUGGAUGAGCCGAUGUCGGAUUAGCUUGUUGGCGGGGUAACGGCCCACCAAGGCGACGAUCCGUAGCUGGUCUGAGAGGAUGAUCAGCCACACUGGAACUGAGACACGGUCCAGACUCCUACGGGAGGCAGCAGUGGGGAAUAUUGGACAAGUGGGCGCAAGCCUGAUCCAGCCAUGCCGCGUGAGUGAAGGAAGGCCUUCGGGUUGUAAAGCUCGUUUGUACCGGAAAGAAAGUCUUUACGGUUAAUACCGGAAGUUAGUGAACGGUACCGGAAG
rnacentral:rRNA from 1 species